UACGUAGGGACCGAGCGUUGUCCGGAAUCAUUGGGCGUAAAGAGCGUGUAGGCGGCCAACUAAGUCCUGCGUGAAAUCUCGGGGGCUCAAACCCCCGAGCGGUCGUGGGGAAACUGGUUGGCUAGAGUGCGGGGAGAGGAGAGUGGAAAUUCCUGGUGUAGCGGUGAAAAUGCGCCAGAUAUCAGGAAGAACACCCCUGGCGAAAGGCGGCUCUCUGGAAACGCAAACUGACGCUGAAGACGCGAAAAAAGCGUGGGGG
rnacentral:rRNA from 1 species